UCUACCUUAUCUUCUUUGCCCGGCUCACUCCCUGCUUCUCUUUUCUUUCUUUUUCUUCUUUUUCAUUUUUGGUAGAACACUCUCUACUCUCAUCCUCUCCACCGGCACUUCCACACCACUACUAUCACCAUUUCUACCAUCAUUUUUCCGGCAAGAUUACUAGAAAAUUCUUGGGAACCUAUAAACACCUUCACAUCCUUUUUUGAGGUUUGUUUGAUAUUGUUGAGGUUCUAGCUAAUCUCCUUUGGAGCUUGGAGAAUUAGGCUUUUGCGGUUACGAGUCUUACAGAUUAAUUAGCUAUAUCAUGGGAAUGGAGCUUGCCUUAUCGGUAGUGAUUGGAGUUUUAUGCUGAAUUGGGAGACUUACAUUACUAAUGGUUGGUGACUCGAUCUUGCUAUGUUCAAUGAGACAUUAAUUAAUUCUAUUGGAGGUUGGUCACUUGAGGUUUGUUAGCCUUAGGCGUGGUAGGCCUAGACUCGAUAUUAAGAUUCCUUGAUAAGAUUGUGAUUUUGUGUAAUCCAAGAGUUUUGUAAUAUAUAUUCAUGUAUUAUGUGGAAGAUUUUUAGUUAUUGUUCAUAAAUGUGUUAUAGAGCUCUGACUUGUAAUGU